rnacentral:rRNA from 1 species
AGAACGAACGCUGGCGGCAUGCCUAACACAUGCAAGUCGAACGAACCCUUCGGGGUGAGUGGCGCACGGGUGCGUAACGCGUGGGAACCUGCCCUUAGGUUUGGAAUAACAGUGAGAAAUCGCUGCUAAUACCAAAUAAUGUCUUCGGACCAAAGAUUUAUCGCCUUUGGAUGGGCCCGCGUUGGAUUAGCUUUGGUGAGGUAAAGGCUCACCAAGGCGACGAUCCAUAGCUGGUCUUAGAGGAUGAUCAGCCACACUGGGACUGAGACACGGCCC